UCGGCAUGAAUUUAAGUUACCGAAAAAUGAAAUGUCAAUGUAAUUUUCCCAAAAAAUAAAGGAAUGGGGUACUAAAAUUGAACAUGUAUUGUAUCGAAAGUAAAGGUGUGUAUCGCUUACCAUGCUUGGAACCCGCCUCCAGUUGAAUUAAUUCCACCAAAACAGUUAAAUACCAUUCGAAAUUCGUAACGUACAAAUAGGAACUCUGUGAGCAAAUCUCAAUAACUUUGUAGAGCAAUUCAUCACGAUAUAACGAUCCCUCCGCGCGCUCCAUAUGUCCCAAUAAACGUUUGACAAUUUCCAUGAGAUUUUUCUUCGAUACCAUACCAUAAAGUAAAUCAAGAGACCGAAGCCGAAUAGAUUCGUCCUUAUCGUCUAGACAUGCUAAAAUCAAGUCUUUGUGUUCCUGCACGCUUUUCGGG